GAUGAACGCUCGCGGCAGGCCUAACACAUGCAAGUCGAGGGGUAGAAGGAGCUUGCUCCUUUGAGACCGGCGCACGGGUGCGUAACGCGUAUGCAAUCUACCUUGUACAGGGGAAUAGCCCAGAGAAAUUUGGAUUAAUGCCCCAUAGUAUAUAACCUUCGCAUGUUGGUUAUAUUAAAGUUCCAACGGUACAAGAUGAGCAUGCGUCCCAUUAGUUAGUUGGUAAGGUAACGGCUUACCAAGACGAUGAUGGGUAGGGGUCCUGAGAGGGAGAUCCCCCACACUGGUACUGAGACACGGACCAGACUCCUACGGGAGGCAGCAGUGAGGAAUAUUGGUCAAUGGUCGCAAGACUGAACCAGCCAUGCCGCGUGCAGGAAGACGGUCCUAUGGAUGGUAAACUGCUUUUAUACAGGAAGAAACCCUCCCACGUGUGGGAGCUUGACGGUACUGUAGGAAUAAGGAUCGGCUAACUCCGUG
rnacentral:rRNA from 1 species